GCAUUCGUGGUGCAGUAGUCAGCACGCUCGGUGCGUAUUCGAGAGGUCCGUGGUUCAAAUCCCGGCGAGAGCA
rnacentral:tRNA from 1 species